rnacentral:rRNA from 1 species
GAUGAACGCUGGCGGCGUGCCUAAUACAUGCAAGUCGAGCGAACGGACGAGAAGCUUGCUUCUCUGAUGUUAGCGGCGGACGGGUGAGUAACACGUGGAUAACCUACCUAUAAGACUGGGAUAACUUCGGGAAACCGGAGCUAAUACCGGAUAAUAUUUUGAACCGCAUGGUUCAAAAGUUAAAGACGGUCUUGCUGUCACUUAUAGAUGGAUCCGCGCUGCAUUAGCUAGUUGGUAAGGUAACGGCUUACCAAGGCAACGAUGCAUAGCCGACCUGAGAGGGCGAUCGGCCACACUGGAACUGAGACACGGUCCAGACUCCUACGGGAGGCAGCAGUAGGGAAUCUUCCGCAAUGGGCGAAAGCCUGACGGAGCAACGCCGCGUGAGUGAUGAAGGUCUUCGGAUCGUAAAACUCUGUUAUUAGGGAAGAACAUAUGUGUAAGUAACUGUGCACAUCUUGACGGUACCUAAUCAGAAAGCCACGGCUAACUACGUG